rnacentral:lncRNA from 1 species
CUGAGGCUGGAGAGUAGUAUUGAGGGGAAGAGACAAGAAAGACAUGAUAGGGAAGGGAUAAAGUCUUAACGCCACAACUUGGCACUUGUUUUCUUGGCAGCCCUUAUGAGAACUAGAGAGAGAAUUUCCAGUAAAAUUAAUAAUAAUUUCUUAUUAAAUCAUCAACAAUAAUAGGAGAAGGGCAGAUGAGUUUUGCAUAAGUUCGAACAAAUCGGAUUCGUUAACCACUGCGCCACGACGGGAACUCCUGUAUUCUUUCUUUUUAUCUUCAUAUAACUCUUGCAAUGUAGGGAAAAACUCUCCAAGGGGGGAGAGAGAGAUUUUAAAGAGGAUCAGCUGGAGACACCAAAAGAGAGACCAGGUCAAAAGCACAUGCAAAAUAAUUGGUAGAGCAAAUAUGCUCAGUAUUGCUAAGUUUCAGCUCACUGCAACCAAUAUUCACUGAGUGAGGCAUAGGAACUGCAUUCUAAAAAUCACUGUUCAGCAAGAGGGUUAAGACAUGGCCAUUUACAGAUGUAUUUGUUUAAUCAACAAACAUUUAUUUAUUUGUCUUUUUGCCUCUUCUAGGGCCACACCGCGGCAUAUGGAGGUUCCCAGGCUAGGGGUCUAAUCAGAGCUGUAGCCACUGGCCUUCGCCACAGCCACAGCAACUCAGGAUCCGAGCCACGUCUUCGACCCACACCACAGCUUAGGGCAAUGUGGGAUCCUUAACCCACUGAGCAAGGCCAGGGAUGGAACCCGCAACCUCAUGGUUCCUAGUCGGAUUCGUUAACCACUGCGCCAUGACGGGAACUCCGAUUUCUUGGUUUUGAUAACUGUACCGUGGUUAACCUUACGGGAAGCUGGGUGAAGUGACUCAGUAUUACUUUUACAACUAAGUCUAAAGGUAUUUUAAAAUAAAUUUUUUUUAAAAGUUGGGGGAGGGGCUUUAGAUACAUUUCCAUGAGAUUUAGCAAGUGGCAGAAGAAGGGGUCUUCCAUCACCAUUUAUUCUACCGACCACCAGCACAUCUAGGAAAAGACCGUGCUCUCUCUCUAGGCUCAGCUGGCCCCCUUGUACCACUGGGUAAGUCUUACAUGACCAAGGCACGAGUUCCAAGUAGGACGGCAUGACAUAUGGUUAACACAAGGUCCAAAGUCAUCAAAGUUGCUCUUUGGGCUUCAUUUCCUGAGUGCAUUAAUAACCUUCCUGCUUUGGCAGAGAGUUGAGUUUGAUUCUUGGGAUCAUACUUCUGGAGGUUGGCCAGUUAGUACAAUUCCAGUGUGGUCGGCCAGCCCUGGCACCAGCUGGAGUAGACCUGUGGAUAUGGCAUCAGAAUUUACUGGACAUCCUCUCCUUGGCCAAUGUCCAUCGCCAAUGAGCAGAGUACUCAAAAAAAGUCAGUUAAAUUAGGCUUGGUAAAGUGACAUUGCAUCUUUGAGUAAUGACGUUGGGAAACAGGGAAAACAUUUUCCACUAGCUCAUGUCUCGCUGUGUGGCAAUCCGGUUUCAAGACAUUUCUUAAUAAAUCAUUGCUUAUCACUCACAUGGGAACAUAACAUGGCUCCAGUUAAGAUUCGUUAGUGGUGGUAAAGGAGAAACAGGAAUUGCUGUAUAUCUGGGCUUCCAGAACAUCUUCCUGUCCUCUGCAGGCACUUUUUUAUCAUUAUAUUUACUGUAGCUGUUGUUUAAAGCAUAAAUAAGUGGAAGGAAAGAGCACCAAAUGUGGAUGAUGAAAAUAAAUUUACCUUACUUCUGUGUUUGUGCGAGCCUUUGGCCAUUAUUCCACAGCAGGGUACAUCCAGGGUUGGUAGCUGCGGUGUUCAGAGAAGGUCUUUACACUUGAAGCGCUUCCCUCUCUUGUGUCCUCCUUGUGUUUGAUUUUGCAAAAUGCCAUCAUAGUCACGUUCAAGAGUGGAGGCCUGUGGCUUGCGCGUUAUUCUAGUUUGGGGUUUAGGUUCUGACCCAUGCCGCCCUCUGUGCUCCCGAGAAAGGCCUGCUGGCAGACGCAUUCGUUAACAGCAAUUCAUUCAGAUCCAAGGGAGAAAGGGUGAGUGACUAAGAAAGAAAAAGCGCUCAGGGCUGGCCUGGUGGGAGUGACGGGGCAAGGGGCAAAGUAAGACCUUUAAUUUAAAGCUGAUCUGGCUGGUUUGCCGUUGGGAUGAAUGAAGCCUGUCAUGAGAAAGUCCUGGCUGCCCAACCAGAUGACCCCUGUGAGGUUUUUGAUAAAAGCACUGAAGGUGAUAGGGCUUGGGGACCCUUCGACGUAUUCCAGACACUCCCUAGGCUAGGGUGUCCUCAGAGCAAAGAUUCUGUAGGUUUGGACGGCUGAGAAGGUCCCUAAUAUUUAUUUAUGGACGGACAGGAAACCACAAGCCCCUCCUUGAAAUGCUGACAGGGCUCUCUAAGUCCCACCAAAGUGACUUCCUCAGAGUCCCCUCCCAUUCAUGGCAACCCCUCGCAGCUGUUCCUGGUAAUGCCUGCCUGUUUCCGACAUCCUUCCCCCAACAUUGAACAAGGGCACAGAAGUAAGAGCCGCAGCCAUCAUUAGCUCUGUCGCUGGUACCUAUAGAACUUUCUGGAGGAGUUAAGACAGGGCCCUCUGUGGAGCAUUGCCUAGCAACCAUUUCUUCUUCUUCUCCUUCUUCUUCUUCCGCCUUCUCCUCCUUCUUCGCCUCCUCCUUCUCCGUCUUCUUUUUGACCAUGGUGUGAAAGGGCUUGAUGCGGAAUCUCAGUUCCCAGACCAGGGAUUGAACCCAGGCCACCAUGGUGAAAGCAGGGAGUCCUAAUCACUACUCCACCAGGGAACGUCCGCAGCCCUUCUAUUUCUUGAGAGUAGUAUUUCUGGAACAUUCCAGAUUGUCUUACAGAGAAACACAACUAAUCUGCAAACAGAGUUAGAAAUGGAAAAGAAGGUUUUCUGAGAACUUAGGGCUUUAGUAAACCAUGGUCUGUCAAAGGUUUGGGCUUGACGCUUCUGAAAGAAGAGUUUGGUUUAAACUCGAGGUGACCUGCUCAGCCCAGUUUGCCUGGGAGAUCCCUCAGUCCCAGGCAAACUGGGAUGGUUGGUCCCCUUAUUUAAACCCUAGAGUGCAGAUUACCAGGGAUGCUUUUCCUCAUGCCAUCCUUCUCUGGUCCUUACACUGCUGGCAUUGCUGCUUGAAUGCCUUCCCCAACAGCCGUGAAAGCCAACAUGAAGGUCAAAUGUGGAGACUGCAGAAGCAGGCAAGACAGUGGCAGCCAUGUCUUCCAUGGGGAUAGUGGUUCCUGUAUUCACUCUGGGAAGUUUUCUCAGGUGCUGUGUACCAGGCCAGGCUCUCCAUGGGUUUCAGUGGACCCAAGCCACUGUUGGUGGAGGAACUGCUGGGUCUCAAACUCAUCCUGGCCACUUUCGAUCCAUUAUCUCUGCUCCUGGGACCCACCCCUCCAAGUGUGCAUUGUCUGGCUCACUUUAUAGAUUUGGAAACUGAUGGAGAAGGCGUUAAAUGGUUUGUCCAUGAUCUGUCGGCCAGUACGUGGUAGAGCUACUUAGGUCGGAGGGCAAAGCCCUUCCCAUAUAUUAUGUGCAUUCCUAUCGGCUAACUUGUAGGUCUGAACACUACAUUUGAUGGCAGAGGAGACAGAGGGGAACCAGGAGCUUAGCAAGGCUGGGUAGUCUAAUCCAGGCCACACCAAGCUGGCGGAUGGAGGAGCCAAACCUGAGGACUUGGAGGUCUGAGCCGCCCUGUGCACAGGGCUCUCUUCCCCCAUUGGGGGAAAAGGACAGCAGAAUUUCCUCCAUUUCUCUCAGGUGCACUCUGAACUGUACUAGUUCGUACCCAAAUACUUCAAAAGUGUGUUGAGUAUAUAUUAAGAUAGUAUUUCCCAUGUUUUCUAUAUAUUGAAAAGACCCCUCUCAAACAUCAUCACAGACACAUUAAACUCACCAGAUUUAUAAGGGCUUUCAAAGGAAGUGUCAUAGCAUUUCAAACAAUUCCUCCCCCAGGGUAGUAAGGGAGACAAAAGGGUAGCCACUCGUGUGCAGGAAAAAUUAUUUGCCAGAAAAUAAGCCCCGUGGUUUCAGUCAAGGUGCCCAUUCGGUGAUGGAUGUUUCAAAGCCAGUCUCGAUGCAAAACCAUAAUUUUUGCACAUGGUUGUAUCUGAGGGCGGCAUCACCACCCUCCACGUGCUCUUCAGAACCGAGCACCUGCUGGUGAGGAGGCAUCCGGUUCCUGUGCCCAGACCGCAGCUGUCUCUGAAGCUGGACGAGAAAUGACUGGAAAUUGGGUUUUCGUUCAAAAGCGGUUUCAUCACAAUCACACACAGCGCUCCCGUCCACGCACGGCAUCGCCUAACUUCAUCCUGAACCCUGGCCGGCUUAAAAACAGACAUCGAAACCGAGGAAUCGGUAUUUGACAAUGCUGUUAAGGCAACUUUGCCAACGAUUUUUGAACCAGCUCCAGCUGAGGCCUAAAUGCCGACAAUAUUCAUAAACAACUCGGUACCGGCCAAUUAGGGAGACAGAGACGCAGCGUCCUGUCAGGGAGAUGUGCACGGCUCCCGGUCUGAGAUCAGAGAGUGAUGAGAGAUGGCCCGGAGUGACGGGCUGCCCAGACGGAUGACUAUCAUUACGAUAUUACCGGGACUCACACCUUCCCAAUUACUGGCAGGAUUCAUUAAUUACCACGGCAUUUCCCUAAUAGAAUCCGUGCUCCGGCUUAUCAGUGCCUUCCCUCUGUCUACCUAAACCCCCACUCAGCAGUCGAUCACCUAUGAAAAAUGAGGCAGUGCGGCUUCGAAUGGCCUAUUUAAAGGAAAAGAAAAAUGAUCGUGGGAAGAGGAGGGGAAAGAAGUCUAAAGCAACAGACGCAGCG